rnacentral:rRNA from 1 species
AACGAACGCUGGCGGCAUGCCUAACACAUGCAAGUCGAACGAGACCUUCGGGUCUAGUGGCGCACGGGUGCGUAACGCGUGGGAACCUGCCCUUAGGUUCGGAAUAACUCCCCGAAAGGGGUGCUAAUACCGGAUAAUGUCUUCGGACCAAAGAUUUAUCGCCUUUGGGUGGGCCCGCGUUGGAUUAGCUAGUUGGUAGGGUAAAAGCCUACCAAGGCGACGAUCCAUAGCGGGUCUGAGAGGAUGAUCAGCCACACUGGGACUGAGACACGGCCCAGACUCCUACGGGAGGCAGCAGUGGGGAAUAUAGGACAAUGGGCGAAAGCCUGAUCCAGCAAUGCCGCGUGAGUGAUGAAGGCCUGAGGGUUGUAAAGCUCUUUUACCCGGGAUGAUAAUGACAGUACCGAGAGAAUAAGCUCCGGCUAACUCCGUG